rnacentral:lncRNA from 1 species
UUAAACUCUUUUCUUUUUAGCUUCAAUUUUGUUUCUUUGUCCCACCUUCUGCACAAUCGUCGGAGCACACCCUUCCACACCACCCUUAAAUUCUCCGAUCAAAGUGACAAACAUAACACAAACACUAAUUAUAAUCAACAACCACAUGCUCUGUGAAAUUCUUCAUUCAAGUUGAUCUAGCAUACUGAAUCUUCUUCUUUCAAUAUAUAUCAUCAACCAAAACAUUAUAAAGUAAUGUUAAUUGUUAAUAUUGCAUGUUAAUCUUAUGUUAGUUUUUCUCAUUUACUAAGACUUGAACCUUCACCUCCCGCUCUUUAAUCCUUAGCUCAACUAGUUUAACCAGUUCAACUACUCAUCCCACCCAGACCAAAACAUUGGUUAAUCUAACAUAGUUUUAUCCAGAAAAUUGUUGGAAUCAAAGCGAUAAUAUUUGGUGCAGAUUUUUGGGUCAAGAACCCUAAAAAUAUUAACUUUCAUUCCUCCCUAUUGAAUGCUGUAAUAAAAAUUGAUGGAGGGUUUGUAUGAUUUAAAACUGUAAUCUAAAAAUCCAUCCAAAUUUAGAUGAAAUUCCAAAGGUAUUUAGAAAAAUGUGUUGCUUGUGUCUUGCAAAUAUUAUGCCUUGACCAAACAUGUGUGUUUGCAUUUGUUUUUUCCACACAAAUAAUGGCACAGAGCUUCAAUCUAGAUGGGUUUGCUGUUUCCCAACGUGUGGAGGAGCAUCUCACAGUGGCGGAAAAAAGCAAAACACGGCAGUCAGGACAGAGGGAGGUCCAACAACACAGACAGAGGAAGCUAUUGGAAGAAAGAGGAAAGAUACAAUGUGGGCAGUCCACCA